CCUACGGGGGGCAGCAGUGAGGAAUAUUGGUCAAUGGGCGAGAGCCUGAACCAGCCAAGUCGCGUGAAGGAUGACGGCCCUACGGGUUGUAAACUUCUUUUGUCAGGGAGCAAUUGAGUCCACGUGUGGGCUUAGCGAGAGUACCUGAAGAAAAAGCAUCGGCUAACUCCGUGCCAGCAGCCGCGGUAAUACGGAGGAUGCGAGCGGUAUCCGGAUUUAUUGGGUUUAAAGGGUGCGUAGGCGGAAUAUCAAGUCAGCGGUAAAAAUUCGGGGCUCAACCCCGUCGUGCCGUUGAAACUGAUGGUCUUGAGGGGGCGAGAAGGAUGAGGAAUGCGUGGGGGAGCGGUGGACUGCAGAGAGAACACGCAGAACUCGGAGUGCGAAGGGAGCAUACCGGCGCCCAAGUUACGCUGAAGCACGAAAGCGGGGGUAUCGAACAGGAUUAGAGACCCCUUUAGUC
rnacentral:rRNA from 1 species